UGACAGUUGAUGCAAGACUCAAAAAUGACCUGGAGGAUUUACAAACUGUUUUUUCAACUUGAGUUGCCCAUGGUGUCCAUGUGGGAUCAGAAAGAGGGGAAGGGAUCAUGUCAAAUGUCUCAACCCCGAUGAUAGUUUAGCCAUCACCAUCCGAUUAUAUUAAGAUGUUUCAAGACAUGUUGAGACAUAAAGUUGAUCUACUCUAACAGCUGGCUGCAAUUCUCAUCUUUUCUGUGCAGUUUUAUUUAAUAGAGGAUACAUUAAUUCUGAUUCAUUCUAUUUUCAGACUGGACAUAGAAUAAAGCGGGGGUCCUUUCUGGUGUUAAACAUUAAGUCCUCAUGUAUGGUUGGGCUUUAGAUUAAGCAAGAGCAGCUCUGAGAUCCCCAAACAAGAGAUGACUAGCUGGCUGUAAAGACUAGAAGAUAGGAGUUGUUUGGAAC